rnacentral:rRNA from 1 species
AAACCAGGGAUAGAUACCCUAUUAUAAAAAUUUAAAUUAAUUUACUAAAAAAUUAAUAGUUAUGUUCUUUAAAUUUAAAAAAUUUGGCGGUAUUUUAGUCUUAUUAGAGGAACCUGUUUAUUAAUUGAUAAUCCACGAUUAAUUUUACUUAUUUAAAUUAAUUCAUAUAUCGCUGUCAUGAAUAUAUUUAAAAAUUUAUUUUCUUUAUUUAUUUUUAUAAUUUAUGUUAAGUCAAGAUGUGGUUUAUAAAUAAGAAUACAAUGGGUUACAUUAAAUUUUAUUUUUGGAUUUUAAAUGAAAAUUAAAAUGAAAUUGGAUUUAAUAGUAAAUUUAU